GACGAACGCUGGCGGCGUGCUUAACACAUGCAAGUCGAACGGAAAGGCCUGCUUUCCCUUGUGGAUUGCGGGUACUCGAGUGGCGAACGGGUGAGUAACACGUGAGUGAUCUGCCCCCAACUUGGGUAUAAGCCUGGGAAACUGGGUCUAAUUCCCGAUAGGACUGCAGGGUGGUGCCUGUGGUGGAAAACGAUGUUCUAGUGGUUGGGGAUGAGCUCGCGGCCUAUCAGCUUGUUGGUGGGGUAAUGGCCUACCAAGGCGGCGACGGGUAGCCGGCCUGAGAGGGUGGACGGCCGCAUUGGGACUGAGAUACGGCCCCGACUCCUACGGGCGGCAGCAGUGGGGACUAUUGCACCAUGGGCGGAAGCCUGCUGCAGCGACGCCGCGUGGGGGAUGCCGGCCUUCGGGUUGUAAACUCCUUUCGACCGCGAGGAAGCCACCUGGUUGGAAGGGUGGUGACGGUAGUGGUAGAAGAAGCACCGGCUAACUACGUG
rnacentral:rRNA from 1 species